UCGUCAGCUCGUGUCGUGAGAUGUUGGGUUAAGUCCCGCAACGAGCGCAACCCUUGUCAUUAGUUGCCAUCAUUAAGUUGGGCACUCUAAUGAGACUGCCGGUGACAAACCGGAGGAAGGUGGGGAUGACGUCAAGUCAUCAUGCCCCUUAUGACCUGGGCUACACACGUGCUACAAUGGACGGUACAACGAGAAGCGAACCUGCGAAGGCAAGCGGAUCUCUUAAAGCCGUUCUCAGUUCGGACUGUAGGCUGCAACUCGCCUACACGAAGCUGGAAUCGCUAGUAAUCGCGGAUCAGCACGCCGCGGUGAAUACGUUCCCGGGCCUUGUACACACCGCCCGUCACACCAUGAGAGUCUGUAACACCCAAAGCCGGUGGGAUAACCUUUAUAGGAGUCAGCCGUCUAAGGUAGGACAGAUGAUUAGGGUGAAGUCGUAACAAGGUAACC
rnacentral:rRNA from 1 species